GGGUUGUGAGGUUAAGCGACUAAGCGUACACGGUGGAUGCCCUGGCAGUCAGAGGCGAUGAAGGACGUGCUAAUCUGCGAAAAGCGUCGGUAAGGUGAUAUGAACCGUUAUAACCGGCGAUGUCCGAAUGGGGAAACCCAGUGCAAUUCGUUGCACUAUCGUUAACUGAAUACAUAGGUUAACGAGGCGAACCGGGGGAACUGAAACAUCUAAGUACCCCGAGGAAAAGAAAUCAACCGAGAUUCCCCCAGUAGCGGCGAGCGAACGGGGAGCAGCCCAGAGUCUGAAUCAGCUUGUGUGUUAGUGGAACGGUCUGGAAAGUCCGACGGUACAGGGUGAUAGUCCCGUACACCAAAAUGCACAGGCUGUGAACUCGAAGAGUAGGGCGGGACACGUGGUAUCCUGUCUGAAUAUGGGGGGACCAUCCUCCAAGGCUAAAUACUCCUGACUGACCGAUAGUGAACCAGUACCGUGAGGGAAAGGCGAAAAGAACCCCGGCGAGGGGAGUGAAAAAGAACCUGAAACCGUGUACGUACAAGCAGUGGGAGCACCUUCGGGUGUGACUGCGUACCUUUUGUAUAAUGGGUCAGCGACUUAUAUUCUGUAGCAAGGUUAACCGUAUAGGGGAGCCGCAGGGAAACCGAGUCUUAACUGGGCGUUAAGUUGCAGGGUAUAGACCCGAAACCCGGUGAUCUAGCCAUGGGCAGGUUGAAGGUUGGGUAACACUAACUGGAGGACCGAACCGACUAAUGUUGAAAAAUUAGCGGAUGACUUGUGGCUGGGGGUGAAAGGCCAAUCAAACCGGGAGAUAGCUGGUUCUCCCCGAAAGCUAUUUAGGUAGCGCCUCGUGAAUUCAUCUUCGGGGGUAGAGCACUGUUUCGGCUAGGGGGUCAUCCCGACUUACCAACCCGAUGCAAACUACGAAUACCGAAGAAUGUUAUCACGGGAGACACACGGCGGGUGCUAACGUCCGUCGUGAAGAGGGAAACAACCCAGACCGCCAGCUAAGGUCCCAAAGUCAUGGUUAAGUGGGAAACGAUGUGGGAAGGCACAGACAGCCAGGAUGUUGGCUUAGAAGCAGCCAUCAUUUAAAGAAAGCGUAAUAGCUCACUGGUCGAGUCGGCCUGCGCGGAAGAUGUAACGGGGCUAAACCAUGCACCGAAGCUGCGGCAGCGACACUAUGUGUUGUUGGGUAGGGGAGCGUUCUGUAAGCCUGCGAAGGUGUGCUGUGAGGCAUGCUGGAGGUAUCAGAAGUGCGAAUGCUGACAUAAGUAACGAUAAAGCGGGUGAAAAGCCCGCUCGCCGGAAGACCAAGGGUUCCUGUCCAACGUUAAUCGGGGCAGGGUGAGUCGACCCCUAAGGCGAGGCCGAAAGGCGUAGUCGAUGGGAAACAGGUUAAUAUUCCUGUACUUGGUGUUACUGCGAAGGGGGGACGGAGAAGGCUAUGUUAGCCGGGCGACGGUUGUCCCGGUUUAAGCAUGUAGGCUGGUUGUCCAGGCAAAUCCGGAUAAUCAAGGCUGAGGUGUGAUGACGAGGCACUACGGUGCUGAAGUAACAAAUGCCCUGCUUCCAGGAAAAGCCUCUAAGCAUCAGGUAACAUUAAAUCGUACCCCAAACCGACACAGGUGGUCAGGUAGAGAAUACCAAGGCGCUUGAGAGAACUCGGGUGAAGGAACUAGGCAAAAUGGUGCCGUAACUUCGGGAGAAGGCACGCUGGUGUGUAGGUGAAGUCCCUGCGGAUGGAGCUGAGACCAGUCGAAGAUACCAGCUGGCUGCAACUGUUUAUUAAAAACACAGCACUGUGCAAACACGAAAGUGGACGUAUACGGUGUGACGCCUGCCCGGUGCCGGAAGGUUAAUUGAUGGGGUUAUCCGUAAGGAGAAGCUCUUGAUCGAAGCCCCGGUAAACGGCGGCCGUAACUAUAACGGUCCUAAGGUAGCGAAAUUCCUUGUCGGGUAAGUUCCGACCUGCACGAAUGGCGUAAUGAUGGCCAGGCUGUCUCCACCCGAGACUCAGUGAAAUUGAACUCGCUGUGAAGAUGCAGUGUACCCGCGGCAAGACGGAAAGACCCCGUGAACCUUUACUAUAGCUUGACACUGAACAUUGAGCCUUGAUGUGUAGGAUAGGUGGGAGGCUUUGAAGCGUGGACGCCAGUCUGCGUGGAGCCAACCUUGAAAUACCACCCUUUAAUGUUUGAUGUUCUAACGUUGGCCCCUGACCGGGGUUGCGGACAGUGUCUGGUGGGUAGUUUGACUGGGGCGGUCUCCUCCCAAAGCGUAACGGAGGAGCACGAAGGUUAGCUAAUCCUGGUCGGACAUCAGGAGGUUAGUGCAAUGGCAUAAGCUAGCUUGACUGCGAGCGUGACGGCGCGAGCAGGUGCGAAAGCAGGUCAUAGUGAUCCGGUGGUUCUGAAUGGAAGGGCCAUCGCUCAACGGAUAAAAGGUACUCCGGGGAUAACAGGCUGAUACCGCCCAAGAGUUCAUAUCGACGGCGGUGUUUGGCACCUCGAUGUCGGCUCAUCACAUCCUGGGGCUGAAGUAGGUCCCAAGGGUAUGGCUGUUCGCCAUUUAAAGUGGUACGCGAGCUGGGUUUAGAACGUCGUGAGACAGUUCGGUCCCUAUCUGCCGUGGGCGCUGGAGAAUUGAGGGGGGCUGCUCCUAGUACGAGAGGACCGGAGUGGACGCAUCACUGGUGUUCGGGUUGUCAUGCCAAUGGCACUGCCCGGUAGCUAAAUGCGGAAGAGAUAAGUGCUGAAAGCAUCUAAGCACGAAACUUGCCCCGAGAUGAGUUCUCCCUGAGACUUUAAGUCUCCUGAAGGAACGUUGAAGACGACGACGUUGAUAGGCCGGGUGUGUAAGCGCAGCGAUGCGUUGAGCUAACCGGUACUAAUGAACCGUGAGGCUUAACCUUACAACGCCGAAG
rnacentral:rRNA from 1 species